rnacentral:rRNA from 1 species
GAUGAACGCUGGCGGCAGGCUUAACACAUGCAAGUCGAACGCCCCGCAAGGGGAGUGGCAGACGGGUGAGUAACGCGUGGGAACGUACCUUUCAGUUCGGAAUAACUCAGGGAAACUUGUGCUAAUACCGUAUACGCCCUUUGGGGGAAAGAUUUAUCGGGGUAUGAUGAGCCCGCGUUGGAUUAGCUAGUUGGUGGGGUAAAGGCCUACCAAGGCGACGAUCCAUAGCUGGUCUGAGAGGAUGAUCAGCCACAUUGGGACUGAGACACGGCCCAAACUCCUACGGGAGGCAGCAGUGGGGAAUAUUGGACAAUGGGCGCAAGCCUGAUCCAGCCAUGCCGCGUGAGUGAUGAAGGCCCUAGGGUUGUAAAGCUCUUUCACCGGUGAAGGUAAUGACGGUAACCGGAGAAGAAGCCCCGGCUAACUUCGUGCCAGCAGCCGCAGUAA